GAUGAAGAACGCAGCGAAAUGCGAUAAGUAAUGUGAAUUGCAGAAUUCAGUGAAUCAUCGAAUCUUUGAACGCACCUUGCACCCUUUGGCCAUUCCGAAGGGCAUGCCUGUUUGAGUAUCAUGAACACCUCAACUCUUCAUGGUUUUCCGUGAUGAGCUUGGACUUUGGGGGUCUUGCUGGCCUAUGGUCAGCUCCUCUAAAAUAAAUCAGCUUGCCAGUGUUUGGUGGGUAUCACAGGUGUGAUAACUAUCUACGCUUGUGGUUUUCCACCAGGUAACCUUCAGCAGUGGAGGUUCGCUGGAGCUCACAGAUGUGUCUCUCCUCAGUGAGGACAGCUCUUUGAAUGUUUGAUCUCAAAUCAGGUAGGACUACCCGCUGAACUUAAGCAUAUCAAUAAGCGGAGGA
rnacentral:misc_RNA from 1 species